rnacentral:rRNA from 1 species
GAUGAACGCUGGCGGCGUGCCUAAUACAUGCAAGUCGAGCGGUGAAAGCGGAGCUUGCUCCGCUGGAUCAGUGGCGAACGGGUGAGUAACACGUGGGCAACCUGCCCCUCACUUCGGGAUAACUCCGGGAAACCGGGGCUAAUACCGGAUAUGACCUCCUUGGGCAUCCUUGGAGGUGGAAAGUUUUUCGGUGAGGGAUGGGCCCGCGGCCUAUCAGCUCGUUGGUGAGGUAGUGGCUCACCAAGGCGACGACGGGUAGCCGGCCUGAGAGGGCGACCGGCCACACUGGGACUGAGACACGGCCCAGACUCCUACGGGAGGCAGCAGUGGGGAAUAUUGCGCAAUGGGCGAAAGCCUGACGCAGCGACGCCGCGUGCGGGAUGACGGCCUUCGGGUUGUAAACCGCUUUCAGCAGGGAAGAAGCCGCAAGGUGACGGUACCUGCAGAAGAAGCACCGGCUAACUACGUGCCAGCCGCCGCAGUAA